CUUCUGGUGGCUGCCCACCCAGGGGCUGAGCGAAGGGGAGGGGAAGCCCUAGGAGGGAGCCCCGGAGAGGACCCAGCAGAAGACACAGGGAGCACUGGGUACAGCUGCAGACGCUGAGGCUCAAGGGGGUCAAGUCCCUUCACUACAGUGGCAGAGCUGGGGUGGUCAUAGACCCUGGACCGCAGCCGAAGGCUCCCAUCCUGACCCAGGAAGCCCCUCCU